GCGGGAGCGAGUGGAUCCCGUUCGGGGUGAAGCUCGUGGAACGAGCGGCGGACGGGUGAGUAACACGUGGGCAACCUGCCUGUAAGAUCGGAAUAACCCCGGGAAACCGGGGCUAAUGCCGGGUAAUACUUUCUUUCGCAUGAAGGAAAGUUGAAAGAUGGCUUCUCGCUAUCACUUACAGAUGGGCCCGCGGCGCAUUAGCUAGUUGGUGAGGUAACGGCUCACCAAGGCGACGAUGCGUAGCCGACCUGAGAGGGUGAUCGGCCACACUGGGACUGAGACACGGCCCAGACUCCUACGGGAGGCAGCAGUAGGGAAUCUUCCGCAAUGGACGAAAGUCUGACGGAGCAACGCCGCGUGAACGAUGAAGGUCUUCGGAUCGUAAAGUUCUGUUGUUAGGGAAGAACAAGUACCGUGCGAAUAGAGCGGUACCUUGACGGUACCUAACGAGGAAGCCCCGGCUAACUACGUGCCAGCAGCCGCGGUAAUACGUAGGGGGCAAGCGUUGUCCGGAAUUAUUGGGCGUAAAGCGCGCGCAGGCGGUUCCUUAAGUCUGAUGUGAAAGCCCACGGCUCAACCGUGGAGGGUCAUUGGAAACUGGGGAACUUGAGGACAGAAGAGGAGAGUGGAAUUCCACGUGUAGCGGUGAAAUGCGUAGAUAUGUGGAGGAACACCAGUGGCGAAGGCGACUCUCUGGUCUGUUUCUGACGCUGAGGUGCGAAAGCGUGGGUAGCAAACAGGAUUAGAUACC
rnacentral:rRNA from 1 species